UUGGUUCCGCCCGGAUGUUUCCGUCCAGACCGGAAAACGGAAACACCGGACAUCCGGCAGAUUCACAGAGGCUGUAAUCAGCCGAUUGGGCACAGCUGUGCCUAGUUGAAGAGAUCGCCUGGCAAUUGGAUGAUUAUAGCACAGAGAGGAGUAUAUAAAGCACAGUUAGAACACAGUUAGAGUUUUUUUUUUUAGUGUGUGCUGGGAAACGGAGCUGUGCUCAUUGUUGGACGUGGUGGCUGUCUGUGGUUCUCUCUCUCUCUCUCGUUGCAGUUUGAUUGUGGAUCUGCUGGAGUAAACAGGAAAAUCCUAUGGGUAAAAAGGAACUUGUUCUAACCAAUAUUGAAGGAGUAAAGCAGGAAGAAAAUUUACCUUCUGGUACAACGUAAACAAAGGCUAUUCGCCGUGAGUAUACCCUUUUUGUGUGGAGUAACUGGCAAAAGUUAACUUGUGUAACUAUUGGAAACCUCCAGGAGAAGGAGGGCGGCCCUACCCCUAUAAGAGUGUGGUGGGCGAGCCGUUAGGAGUAUAACUCCAAACAGCCACCGCAACGAGACUUAUUGUGGUCGUAUUUCCCAUCGCCUUAUCGUAGCCCAAGCGCAGUGGAGGACACCGGGCGCUUCCUUUGUUGUGGUGCACUUAUAGUGUGGUGAGUGAGACUGUGUAUUAAAUUCUUUUCACGUUUGGAGUGGUGCUGUGUAUAUUGCUGUGGGUUGCUGUGUGUCUUGUAGACGAAGCCCCGCAUCAUCCAUUUUCUUCCACUGGGCAGAGGACGGAGAGGCCAACGACUACAGAAAUCACUGUUACUAUAAGUAGUGUGCUGUUCGGAGUGCGAAGGGACGCAGACUAAGAGCUGUCCGUGACCGUGAGUAAACCAUUGGAAAACAUUUCGUGGUGUGAACUUACCUGUGUCUGUUUUCGUCGCAGAGUUGGAGGCGAAAGGGUCCGCCGCCCCGUGGUCUCUACGAAAAGGGCGCCCCCGUCUAGGAAUCGAUCGGCCUACGGGCAUUGGAGAUAGGGCAGCGCUCGACCCGGUGAGGUGGUGUGUGACCUUCGCCCCUCUGUUGACCUACGGAGGAGAACCAUACCUACCCAGACAGUUGUAAACAGCAGAGCCGGUGAGAAUUACUCGAAGUCUCAGCAACAGUGUCUUUGUGUUCUAGCGGCCACCUGUGGAGAGAGAGCAGAACGAGAGUGAAUCAUUGAAGAGCAAAUUGUGAACGUGAUACCUACCCAGAAAGCUGUAAACAGCAGAGCCGCGGCCACCUGUGGAGAGAGAGCAGAACGAGAGUGAAUCAUUGAAGAGCAAACUGUGAACGUGAUACCUACCCAGAAAGCUGUAAACAGCAGAGCCGGUGAGAGUUACUCGAAGUCUCAGCAACAGUGUCUCUGUGUUCUAGCGGCCACCUGUGGAGAGAGAGCAGAACGAGAGUGAAUCAUUGAAGAGCAAAUUGUGAACGUGAUACCUACCCAGAAAGCUGUAAACAGCAGAGCCGGUGAGAAAUACUCGAAGUCUCAGUAACAGUGUCUUUGUGUUCUAGCGGCCACCUGUGGAGAGAGAGCAGAACGAGAGUGAAUCAUUGAAGAGCAAAUUGUGAACGUGAUACCUACCCAGAAAGCUGUAAACAGCAGAGCCGGUGAGAAAUACUCGAAGUCUCAGUAACAGUGUCUUUGUGUUCUAGCGGCCACCUGUGGAGAGAGAGCAGAACGAGAGUGAAUCAUUGAAGAGCAAACUGUGAACGUGAUACCUACCCAGAAAGCUGUAAACAGCAGAGCCGGUGAGAGUUACUCGAAGUCUCAGCAACAGUGUCUUUGUGUUCUAGCGGCCACCUGUGGAGAGAGAGCAGAACGAGAGUGAAUCAUUGAAGAGCAAAUUGUGAACGUGAUACCUACCCAGAAAGCUGUAAACAGCAGAGCCGUGGCCGCCUGUGGAGAGCAAGGAGAAACAAUUGGAGAACAGACUGUGUAACGUGAUACCCACCCAGAGAGCUGCAAGCAGAAGAGCCGGUGGGAGACACCUCAAGUGUAAGCUAACAGUGCUUUUGUGUAGCAGUGACUAUCUGUGGGGCAUAAGGAGAACGUGGACGGACGUACGACAGGGAACGUAAAGGCACGUGGGGCGAGGACCCCCUGCCGGCCCAAGGAGAGGUACACCGACAGUGGAGGACUUCCUUACCAGUCACACCAAAAUUGUUCUGCCUCCAGGACGGAAGAAGGAGGGCGCCACGGUUAGCAGGGUCCAGGCCGGAGCCUGACGUUUCCCUUUCCCCCCCCCAGCUUAUGGUGGUUGGCACCCUCGUUGCCCUUGGCCUGUCUGCCGUGGCUGCAGCCUCCCUGGAGGGAGAAGAAGAGGCCUAUUAGUUUUAAUUUUCCCCUUUCCCCAAAUUCCCAGUUCUUUUAAAUAUUUAAACUAAAUAAAGCUUGUUUUAAAUUUUA